UGAUGAUUCCACUUGGCACUAGCCACAGGGCAGCUGGCCUUAAAGGCACUGAUUCAAUUAAACUUUCAGACCUGAGAAGCUUGAGGGUAAUACUGGCAAAGACAUGCAUAAGAACAGUAGUGUCCCAUUCACAUGGGGCAGAAGCACCAGAGAAGAGCUAAUUAUGGGUCUGAAGGACGGUUCCUGCUUUGGCAGAAGGGUGUAAACUGAAGUACUCAAGUGGAUUCUGACUCUGUUCUUAUCGGUGGCACGCACUGGGCACGAACCUGCAGAUAACAUCUCACCCAGUCUGCGCUGGGUCAUCCUGCCUGCUUCACACAACAGAUUCUUCAAGGGAAGGACGGAAGGGAAGCAGCGGGAGGAGAGGGCCGACAUCCUGAGUGUGUGUUUGAUCUGUCUUGGAAACCAAUGAUCACACUAGUGGUGAUAAUUAUGAUACAGAAAUUAGGCUGUGCCAGGGAAAAAAGGAAAGGAAAAAAAAAAAUCCAGCAACAUAGUAGAGCUGUGUUACUUUAGUCUGAACAGAAGAGAAAAUGAAGCCUUUCUCUCAGCAGGCACCAAAACACAUAUUUUGCAAAAUUGCAAUACUAAUAUAUACCUCCAGCUGAGGGGACGUCCAUAUCUCUGCAGUGCCCUGCACACUGUCUCCUAUGCAGGGGCUUACAUUAUAUUGCUCACAUGGCAAAUCCUUAGCAAGUCUCAUCUUCCAAGGGCUGAGCCUGGGAGACAUCCUGCAUCAGUCACUGUCAGUAGGGCCAAUAGCAUUUCACUGAAUUCAGUUUUGUUCUAGGUCUGUCCUCAUGGGGAGGCAUCUGAUGGCUCAUCCUUAGUGCAAAUAGAAGUCACAGUGACAGAGGGGCUUCUUGCACCCAUCAGCUGAAACGUGAAUGAACGUGUGGGACAUGCAUGCCAGCACAUCUGUGGAGGGGAAUAAGAGGGAAGAAAUGGGAAUGUGGAGGCUUGGGCACAGAAGGUAAGAGGUAGCAAGAUCCUUCUGGGAAUAGAAGUAGCAUAUGCAUUGAUGUCUGUCAACAUCAAGAGACAGUGGAUGAUUCAUACUGGGAGGAAGGAGCUGGCAACAUCACCACUUUUCUUUUGAAAGAGGCCAUGCACUGGUUAAGUACAGCACAGGGCUUCCCUCUCUGAUGUAUGCUCUACCCACCAAAUGAUUUACCAAGCUGUAAAUGGCAGAGAUGCUUUAGCUGGGUGUGGAGUUUUCUCUGUGACUGGAACUAUUUACCUUUUCCAUCAGUCAGAGCACACAAAAGAUCUCCAAUGCUAAUAAAGUUUUUAUGUGUUAUAAGUGAUACCUGUCCCCAGCUACAGCUGCGUCUGGUAUUGGCAGUUAUACACACGUAUUUUUUUCUGUAUUGUUUUUAUUGUUUUUUUGUUUGUUUGUUUGUUUGUUUUCUGAGAAAAUGUUAAGUUAGAAGGAAACCCUUUGAUGGACAUGGAUCAGUGACAGCAUUGAACACUGGGAUCCAUCAUAUAGCAAGGAUGGAAGGUCAUCCACUCAGCAGUAUAGUCAAAUUUGUGUUUCCAUAUUUAUGGAAUUAACACAUUCUUACUACUUUUGCACAAAUCUGUUUCCCUAUAUUACAUGUGCUAACGGCUGUCCAUUCUGGAAGCUGUGUGUUUGGCUUGACUUAUCAUUGUGCUACUUUUGUGAUGUAUGUAUUGACCACAGUGAUGAGGGAAUCACACAACUGCACUUGAAGUUAUAUCUGCCACUUCUAGUUGUAGCUGUGUUAUAGGCAACUUCUUUGUCAGACUACAGGCAAGAGCAACUGUGCAGAGGCUCUAGGACAGUUCUUUUA